CAGCACACGUCAGAUGACGCUAUGAAGAAGACUGCAGAUGCAGCUGAAACAUGUCAGCUAAGGUCUGAGCAUGUGUGAGUUUACUGACACCUACUGGACAAACAGAGAACUGCUUCACUCAGGUCUGAGCAUGUGUGUUUACUGACACCUUCUGGACAAACAGAGAACUGCUGCAAUUUCUAAACAAAGUAAAGGUGAAGCUUUAGAGACAGUGUUGUUGUGUCUCUUUCUGGUUGUUUAACUCUUUUUGUUCUUGUUUUGUGGCUUUUUACAACCCAGAUUUGUUCAUUUUUACCACUUUGUAUCUACAUCAGUGAAAUCCAGUCCAGCAUUGGCUUAAAAAAAUA